ACGCCGAUUGUCUUUCUUAAUAAUAUUUGUUGUUUAUUUUACUUAAUCAACAUGAGCAUAUUGAAUUUUGGAAUGCUAAUAUAACACGGAUAAUUUGAAAAUAUUUUUUUCAGUGGCAAGCCCAGCGAUCCACGUUUGAAAAGCGUGUACUCAUCUGAUAACGGCGUCGUGUUUGAACACCGAGAUGCCGCCAUUUGGGCUGAGUAUUGCACACCCAUGCAUCGCAUCAAUUUGAUGAAGAACACGUCGGCUAAGAAUCAUGCAUAUGGGAAGAGGUUCAAGAAAACGUUUGACGAAAUAAUGUCUAAGACCUCAAUAAAGCAACAAUUUGCAGAUAUUGAUGUGUCAUUGAUCUACUAUGAUGACAGACCCUUUUAUGAGAUUUGGACGGACGACACUUACGAUUUAGUACCAUAGGUCUUUCCUGCACUCAUUUUCCCCUAGCAAGGAGGCUAUAGGAAACCAACGGGACACUGGUCUUUUAAAAAAUGCUGAAUAAAUGACAUAUGUUUGUCGUGUGAUAUGUUUGUUAAUGUGUUUUUUAUUUAUUUUUCCAAAUUAUCAUCAAGUGUAUACAAAUCUAUAAUUUGUGUAUGCGAUAAAAUUCAAACUUAUAAUUAACCGAGUUCAUGUCAAUACAUGUUCUUGUUGUUAAUUCAUAUGGGUAACUAUGCAUGGUCGACCAUAGGUUGUAACACACCUACCUUUGUUAAUAUAUAAGUGUUUUAUCUAUGUAGAAGUGUUUUCUGAUUAAUUUAUAAACCUAGUGUCAUCCAUUAUGUUUAUUAUUACUAUGUUUUAACUCUGUGUUGAUAACAAUAACCAGUUCAUUCGUAUUCUGAUUAUUGACGAUAUAUGCUUAUUAAAAACUUUUGUAUGUGCGUUAUAGUGCUAGGGUUUACACAAUUCAUUUUUUUUAUGUCCUUUCUUUUUUAGAGUAGUUCUUUAAGGCUAACAAUGGGAAUCGGCCUUUUAUGAUAUGUACGUAGAAAGACUAAUUUUACUGUUUUUUGUGUGUAUAAUAGUCUCCUGUAAAACUGAUUAAGAUUGACCGUUACAAGUUUUUAUAUUCUCUUCAUUGAAUAUUUGUAUUAUAUAUGUGGUACAACACAUGUAUUGGAUUGGUCUUGAAUAACCUAAUAAACCCGAUUAUUAUUUAAAUGCUAUCUGCUUCUGUGUUAAAUUAUAUUCAUUUAGAUAGCAAUGCAUGCUUUUUUGUCUUUAAUUAAUAUGAUUGAUAUAACCAUUGGUCUUUAAGUUCAUAUGCAAUUUUAGCUCUGCAGCUAUGAAUAUAAUGUUUAUUUUAGUUUCAUAUUGCGUAAGUUCGUCUCUCUAUAUAUGUGCUAUUAUUGUUUAGUUUAAUUAGUAUGGGUUUAUGUUGUUCAGAUUGUUAUUUCAUUUUCCUUACUGUAUCAUCAACAUAACAUCAAUGAUUGUUAUUAAUUUGAAAUUAAUUGUAUUAUUUCAAAAUUUAAGAAGUCAUGAAUUAAGAUUUUCACAUACUACGAGACAAUAGUCUCGAAUUUAGCGUGAACAUAACCUGUUUUACCUGUUGUUACUGUUGAGCAAAAGCUAUGGGAUUAUACGAACAUAGCUCAAUGCAUGUUGGUUCAUUGACAUUUUGACAUGUGUCACGUCCCCAUCAUAACUGUGCUGAAAAAUAUAUGUUACAAACUUUGCAAUUGAAUGUGAUGACAUAAUUUCAUGGAAUUUUGAAUUUAAAUUUCUAUUAAGAGUAAGAGUUAUUAACAUAUCUUGCAUGUAUCAAAACAUGGCAGCUGCAGCCACAUGCGACAUACAUAGACAAUCUGUACGAGCAUAAAUUCCAAUGUUUUGAAAGCGCAUCUCAUGAUUUGCCAAAAACACAAUUUGAGAACAUACGCUUAAUCUUUUCGGAAACACCCACAAGGAACAACGCCGAGAGAGAUCAUAUUGGGUUACAAAAGGAAACUUGCGAGUCAGAAAUAAUCAGUUCUGUAAACAAUAUCAAAAAGUGACACGAAUUUGUUCGAACGUGGUCAGCUAGGGUUAUUAAAGCCAUUCCGGUGAAAGAAAAUGUCAAAAGUACACUAAAUAAUAUUAGUUGCGAAUAUUAGUUAUUAUUAACUAUCAAUUUUGAGGUUCACUUGAGUCCUAUUCGAAAUGCCAAUAUUUUUGUAAUCGAAAGAAAUAGGAUCUGUUUUAAUUAAUGUGGCCAUAAUGAUUAUGAGCCAAUAUAUUGCGCGUAUAAUUUUAUUAAUAAACUGUACCAGGUAAUAUGGGUCCAAUCAUUUUAAAUUAAAAGGAUAAUAUUCAAUCCGAGUUUGGAAUAUUUUCGUAAAAUGAAAAUUUAAAGCACAUUUGAAAACACGACUUGUAUCUACCAGCUACAAUACUAUCCGAAAUGCGUUUGUGUUGAUUUCAACACAUGCGCGAGCAUGAAACAUAAUGCAAACUUAAUUAUCAAAUUUGGGCAAAGAAGGGAAUAUUUUAUAGUAUGUUCGAUCAAAAUAGUGUCCGUAUUAAGUUUGCGCUUAUCUACUAGCAAAUGAAUAGUUGUUUUAACGUAUAAUACAGUGGGUAUUUAAUGCGGAAGAAUUAAAUCGAUGUCUAAGAACUUUUUUCAAUUGAGUUUUAUCGUCUGUUAAUCUAACAAUAUCAUUUCAUAGCAGUUUUAUCUAACCUUUUGACAUAUUUUACGAGUAAAAGGUGGAACUUAAUUGUUUACACAUUUAGAGUAGCAACUAGACUGACAUCUACUGCAACUUACACACACCAACACUCAUGUACAAGCGAAGAAAUGUACACACAAUACAAUGUUAUAAGUGAAGAUGAAUCAUUUUACAAGUCAAUUGAAUCAUAGACUUAUGCGGUGCCGUGUAUUUGAAUAAUUAUUAAACAUCAGCAUACCUUGUAUUUAUAUUGAAAAAUACAUUAUAUAGAGAAAAAAUAGAGUCCAAGAGUAUAUUUUACACACAUAUUUACAAGCAAAACCGACACACAUGCAAUUGAUCAAUAAAUAUUAAGUUGCUUUCAUUAAACUAAAUUAAACAUGAGGCUACACAUUGUAUAUUUACCCAGUUUUGACACUCCGUGCAUAACUUUAUAAUAAGAAAAAACAAACAAGAGAACACAAUUAUUUUAAACUUUUCAAAAGUUAGUACAUUGUUAAAAUUGUAAUCAGAAUUAGGAACUUCAUCUUCUAAUAUUUUUCAGAAUUUGAAAAUACAAUCGAAGCUUAGAUAGGGUAAAAUAUUGAAAUUUCAAAAUUUAAAUAACAUAUGAUAUUAUUAUAAAAAUUAUGUAUUUAUGUCUAGUGUACAUUAUUGUGCAAGGCGUAUACAUGUCAUAUAUAGGUAUUUCUGAUUUAAUUUAAGAAUACACCACAUAACAUGCUUAUGUGAUUGACUAUAUAUCUAUAAGCAUUAUUCUUUUUUUGUUUUUACUUAACACGUCCUACCAUUAUUGUUGUCAAUAUUGCAUACCAUGUCACUAAUUAUGAUUACUGC